AUGAAGGCUGGUAAAUUUCAAUCCACGAAGGAAAAAGCCCACAAAAUUUUAUCGGACUGGAUAGAAAAAUAUGCCUCAUGUGGGGCGAAAGAAACUUUGUUUAAAUCUGUCCUGCAGGCUCUUCCGGUGUAUGCAAUGGGUAUUUUUAAAUUUUCGGCAUUGCUAUGUGAAGAGUUGUCUCAGAUCAUAAGGAAUUUCUAGUGGGGUGAUGAGGAGAAUAGGAGAAAGACUCAUUAGCUGGCUUGGGAUAAGAUGACUAGGCCUAAAGGUGAGAGUGGUAUGGGUUUCCGGGACCUUAAAUUAUUUAACCAGGCUCUACUAGCUAAACAGGCCUGGAGAUUAGUGGUUAAUCCUGAAUCUCUUUGUGCCAAAGUGAUUAAGGCAAAAAAAAGUGGUCAUUAUGUUAUGAAAAGGAGGGAGUAG
rnacentral:rRNA from 1 species